rnacentral:rRNA from 1 species
GACGAACCGAGCGAACGUUAUUCGGAAUCACUGGGCUUAAAGGGCGCGUAGGCGGGCCGGCAAGUCAGGGGUGAAAGCCCCCAGCUCAACUGGAGAAGUGCCUCUGAUACUGCGGGCCUCGAGGGAGGUAGGGCGUGCGGAACUUCCGGUGGAGCGGUGAAAUGACGUAGAUAUCGGAAGGAACACCGGGUGGCGAAAGCGGCGCGCUGGACCUCUUCUGACGCUGAGGCGCGAAAGCCAGGGGAGCAACGGG